rnacentral:rRNA from 2 species
GGAAUUUUCCGCAAUGGGCGAAAGCCUGACGGAGCAACGCCGCGUGAGGGAUGAAGGCCUCUGGGCUGUAAACCUCUUUUUUCAAGGAAGAAGAUCUGACGGUACUUGAAGAAUAAGCCACGGCUAAUUCCGUGCCAGCAGCCGCGGUAAUACGGGAGUGGCAAGCGUUAUCCGGAAUUAUUGGGCGUAAAGCGUCCGCAGGCGGCCUUGUAAGUCUGUUGUUAAAGCGUGGAGCUUAACUCCAUUUAAGCAAUGGAAACUGCAAGGCUUGAGUGUGGUAGGGGCAGAGGGAAUUCCCGGUGUAGCGGUGAAAUGCGUAGAUAUCGGGAAGAACACCAGUGGCGAAGGCGCUCUGCUGGGCCAUAACUGACGCUCAUGGACGAAAGCCAGGGGAGCGAAAGGGAUUAGAUACCCCAGUAGUC